AACUUCUCCUCCCUGUCUCUCCAGGUGCUCCAGUCGUGACGUCUUUUCCUCAUUUCUACCUGGGAGAUGAGAAGUACUCUAACGCCAUUGAAGGACUGGAUCCUGUCAGAGAGCAUCACCAGACCUUCCUGGACCUGAACCCGACCACUGGUGUUCCUAUCCGGGCCAGUAAGAGAGCUCAGAUCAACAUCCUCAUCAACAGAAUCGGUGGCUUUCCGAAAACCAAAUCCCUAAACGAGACCAUCUUCCCUGUCAUGUUUAUCAAUGAGACGGUAGUGAUUGACGACGUGUCGGCGGCGAAGCUCCACAAACUGUUGCUGAUGGUGAUGCUGGUGUCCAACUCCCUCUUGUCCUGGUUGGUCUGG